CACACCAGGGCACUCAGUCCCAGAGACACACCCAGCAGCCACACCCGAUGAGCAGGUGCCCAGACACGUGAAGGCACAUACACUCCACGCAGAGCUCUGGGUAUGACACACACACUCCACACCCCACACGUGUGAUCACACCAGCACCUCCUGAGGCAGCCAGGAGGGUGGCCUUUGCGUGGGCCCCAGAACAGCAGCCCAUAGGUGAGGAAACCGGAGCUCAGAGAGGAGAAAUGAAUUGCCCAAGCUCACCCUGCAAGAUGCAGGAAGCCGCCGCUGGAAGCAGGAAGGACUCCCUGGCCCUCCCUCAGCCCAGGCAGGGGAUCCCUCAGCCCCGCCCCUGACCCUGUCCAAGCUGCCCCACCCUGAAGUCUGAUAGGAGUCUUCUUCCUGGCGGGGCUGUAACUGGGAAAUCACUCUGGGCCCGGAGCCAGGCCCCAGGGCUGGGAAUCCCAGCCUCUUGUCUGGGUAGAACGGCCUUCUGGACAGCAAGGAGCCCCCCAACUGAGGGCAGGCCUGCAGCCCCUUCCAGCCCAGCCAGGCCAAUCCCCCCAUCAAACAGACCAGCCUCAUCUUGCACAGAGCGCCUGCCAGUCUCAGGCUCAACUCUUGUCCAGUGAUGCUACCUUCAAGAGGGCCUGGAGCCAGGCUUGCUGAUGGACAGAUGGACCCAUGGACAGACAGAUUUGCCUGGAGCACACACAUGAGCUCCUGUUACAGCCUCGGUUCUGACCCUGACCCUCAGAAAACAGGACGCCCUGGAGAACGGUCUCAUUUGGGGGUGUUAUCAUAACCCUCGAAGAAACAAAAAGAAACAAAAGAAGUUCUAUUUCUUUCCCCAAAUUCCUUUUCUUGUGAAUAACUCUGCAGAGUAAGACAGGCAGCUGAUAGAGUCAACGUCCCUUCACCGGUUCUAAAAUGCAUCUUUCCAUCGAGGGCUGUGCUUUCCUACACUUAGCCCCAGCUUCAGCAUCCCCAGGGACAGAUAUCCAUGUUCAUUCUAGACAUCUUGGGGGUGAGGGAAGGCUGGAAUGCUGCAGGCUUUUCUUUAUAGCAGCCCUGCUUGGAGAAUCAGCAUUUUACAGGUAAGGCCACAGAGGCUCUGAAAGUUGAGUGCCUGGCCCACCGUCACACAGCGACUAGCUCCCAUGUCUGCUGGUGGCCAGGAAGGAGGUUCCCCAAAGUCUGAGAUCUUGGCCCAGAGCCCACCCCAAGACUCCAGCCCUUGAGAGCCGCCAGACCUGCCUUAUAAGCCCAAAGGCCGGAUGGCCGGCUCGGGCACUGGGCCGGGCCUUGUAGGGAGACAAGGCAUUGCUGCCAAGUGCUCGGCCCCAGGAUGGCCUCCCCUGCCUGGCUAAAUUUAGCGGCUCUGUGAACAUGGAGGGGGCCUGAUGCCUGUCCUGGAGGCCAGCCCAGGCCCUCAAGGGGGUCGCACAGGCUCCAAAGAGUCUUCUUGGCCAUUCAGCGUCCCAAGGUUGCAGAGGCCACACCGCCGCCCAAAGAGGAGCUCAGCCCAAGCUCCCCAGACCAUCUGGGCCAGUCUCAGGUGUCCCAGGGACUCACAUGGUGCCUCAGCCUCUCAGACACUGGCUAGAACAUGGACCUGGGCUGGUCUAACUGGACUGUCUGGGGGACAUGUGGGGAGGGCAGGCAUCCAUGCGGAGGCCACAGCAGGGGACCCCAGGCUGGCUUCUCCCCACCACCUGGACCUUACAUGGCUUCUCCAGCCUCUUCUAUCCCCAACUAUGGGCCAUGACCCGGCUGGAGCCCCUCUGCCUGUGUCUGAGGCAUCACAGCCGCCUGGUUCUCCUCCAUGCUUUGGGGUCAUUUCCCCUUGGCCUUCAGCCUCUUUCUGCCCCUGGAAUGUGGGGUGAUUUGGGGCUGGCCUGGGUCCCUGCACUGCACAUUUCGCAGGCACACACCCAGAGGUCCAUGUCAAGCUGAUGCUGAAGAUGCUACACCCACAGCGACCACGUACCCACUACCCACUCUGGCCCCCACCUCUUUUUCUUCUAAAUCAAACUCCAUUAGGGUAUAAAUUUGUUGUUGUUGUUGUUCAGUA